CGCUGCUCUCAGACCAGCGCCCCCUCCUGCCCAGCCUCCCUGCCACUCAGCCCCCCACCAUGGCUCCGGGCUGACACCAGAUCUGCGCCCGGUGCCCUUUGCCCUCUCUCCGGCCUCGGCUCGGAGGCUGUAGACAGCCCCCCCCCCCCGCUCCCACACUGCCCUCUCCCAUCCCAGCCCACUCUGCAGGCCCUGCAGUCUUGGCCAGUUUCCGGCCAGCCAGAAUCGUCCUUCUUGCCCGCCUUUCCUGGUGCCCUCCUCAGGGGUCCCCAGAUCUUGGACCCGAUGGCCCAGGGCCUUGAGCAGGGAUGGGGGGGGGUACCCGACUUCGCAGAGGGUGCUGCUCUGGGCUGGCCCGAGGGGGGCCCCGGAGCACCAGCGGCGGUUGGGCCGGGCCUGGCGGUGGGGCGCUAACUCUCUUCUCUCGCCUCCGAUCACGUCCGGGCCUCCCCACCCCCUUCGCCGGGACUCUCGUUAACCGCUUCUCCUGCCUCGUCCGCGGCAUAAAUAACCCAGAUAAAUCAGCCGCCGUCCGCCCCCCGCCCCUCGGCCCCCGCACAGCCCGUUUGUCACCGCUGCUCGCUCACCAGCCAGGCCUGGCCCGGCCCUGGCCUCCCGGUCCUCGUCCCUCCCCGCCCACAUCUGUCCCACCGUGGCUCAUCCCUGGUCCACACCAGCCAGAGCCGGGUUUCUGGGCCUGGGGAGGUGGCAAGGGGGUGUCCCCUGGGAGCAGACGGAGGCUGGGGGCCGUCUCCAGAGAAUGCGGUCCGGGAGUCUGAGGGGUCCUCCAGGUAGCUGGGUCCUGCCGGGAGCCAGUCCGGGAGGGAGUCUGGGGCCCACGUGGUAGGAAGGGGCAGAUGCUGCUUAGCAUGGGGGUCCCCUGUGGGAAAAGGCUUCCUUGGAACCCCCUCAAGGUGAAUCGUGGGUGAUCUCAAGGUCUCCCUUUGGGGCAUUUGCCCGCAUAAAACCUCCACGCCUCCUCCGCGCUGGGAGCUGGAACCACCCCCCCCACCCCCACACACCCCCAC
rnacentral:lncRNA from 1 species